UACGAAGGGGGCUAGCGUUGCUCGGAAUGACUGGGCGUAAAGGGCGCGUAGGCGGUUUGUACAGUCAGAUGUGAAAUUCCUGGGCUCAACCUGGGGGCUGCAUUUGAUACGUAUGGACUGGAGUGAGGAAGAGGGUCGUGGAAUUCCCAGUGUAGAGGUGAAAUUCGUAGAUAUUGGGAAGAACACCGGUGGCGAAGGCGGCCUGCUGGGCAGUGGCUGACGCUGAGGCGCGACAGCGUGGGGAGCAAACAGG
rnacentral:rRNA from 1 species